CCAACCGCGUGCCCUCUUCCACCUCCGGAUUCAAGUAAGGACGUGGCAUGCUGCAGUGGAUGCCUCAAAAGGAACUCUAUUGUCAAAGCGGCCGCGGCAGCUGGUCCUGCCGUGGUGAAUAUAUGUCUUACUGAAGAUGUAUAUGGUCCUAUGCCUAUAAUGGGUAUAGGGUCUGGCACUAUCAUUGAUCCUGAUGGGACGAUCUUGACCUGUGCACAUUGCAUAGCAGACUUUUCUAGUAGGCAAGUGAUCUCAAAAGGCAAAGGCGGAAAUUGUAGAAGAUUGCAAGAUGCAUAUCGGUCUUUUUGAAGUUUCCUUGGUUAGCUUGCUGUCAUACAAGUUUGAAAGAUGUUCUCCUAACUCAGUCUGGUUCAUAUCUGACUAUGCUAAG